UACUCCUACGGGAGGCAGCAGUAGGGAAUCUUCCGCAAUGGACGAAAGUCUGACGGAGCAACGCCGCGUGAGCGAAGAAGGCCUUCGGGUCGUAAAGCUCUGUUGUUAGGGAAGAACAAGUACGAGAGUAACUGCUCGUACCUUGACGGUACCUAACCAGAAAGCCACGGCUAACUACGUGCCAGCAGCCGCGGUAAUAA
rnacentral:rRNA from 1 species